UACGGAGGGUGCAAGCGUUAUCCGGAUUCACUGGGUUUAAAGGGUGCGUAGGCGGGCAAGUAAGUCAGUGGUGAAAUCUCCGGGCUUAACCCGGAAACUGCCAUUGAUACUAUUUGUCUUGAAUACUGUGGAGGUCAGCGGAAUAUGUCAUGUAGCGGUGAAAUGCUUAGAUAUGACAUAGAACACCAAUUGCGAAGGCAGCUGACUACACAAAUAUUGACACUGAGGCACGAAAGCGUGGGGAUCAAACAGG
rnacentral:rRNA from 1 species